UACGAGGGGGGCAAGCGUUGUCCGGAAUUAUUGGGCGUAAAGAGCUCGUAGGCGGUCUGUUGCGUCCGCUGUGAAAACCCAGGGCUUAACCCUGGGCUGGCAGUGGAUACGGACAGACUAGAGGUAGGUAGGGGAGAAUGGAAUUCCCGGUGUAGCGGUGAAAUGCGCAGAUAUCGGGAGGAACACCGGUGGCGAAGGCGGUUCUCUGGGCCUUACCUGACGCUGAGGAGCGAAAGCGUGGGGAGCGAACAGG
rnacentral:rRNA from 1 species